CAGGGAGACAACAAAAUGUUAAAUAUUAAUUUUGUCACCUUAGGUCGAUCGGUAUCUCACAUUCUUAACUUAUUAAGAAUUUUAUUUCCUAAGUUUUUUCUAGGUCACACCCAUUAUUUUCCCUGGGCCAUUAGCUCAGGUGGUUAGAGCGCACCCCUGAUAAGGGUGAGGUCCCUGGUUCAAGUCCAGGAUGGCCCAUCAUAUCUCUAUGUUGGGGGUAUAGCUCAGUUGGUAGAGCGCCUGCUUUGCAAGCAGGAUGUCAGCGGUUCGAGUCCGCUUACCUCCACUGUUCACCACCUCUUGCAUAAACUAAAGGAAACGUUUUGAGUAGUGAUCAAAUUCUGAACGAAUCUAGCUUCCUAAUAAAAUUAUUAAGAUGCUGGACUCAUUGAAUUAAUUUCAUUGAAUUCAGAGAACCUUGACAACUGCAUAGAUUUUUUUAAAGACAAUAAGCAUCUUUUAAAGAUGCGGAUUUAUUAUUUUUGCAAAUGCAUCAAUAACAAUUCUAUUAAGCUGAUGCUUCAAUUUUUGAAGUUAUUG
rnacentral:tRNA from 1 species